rnacentral:rRNA from 1 species
ACAUAAAGAAGCUUGCUUCUUUGAUGACGAGUGGCGGACGGGUGAGUAAUGCUUGGGAAUCUAGCUUAUGGAGGGGGAUAACUACGGGAAACUGUAGCUAAUACCGCGUAAUAUCGAAAGAUUAAAGUGUGGGACCUUCGGGCCACAUGCCAUAGGAUGAGCCCAAGUGGGAUUAGGUAGUUGGUGAGGUAAAGGCUCACCAAGCCGACGAUCUCUAGCUGGUCUGAGAGGAUGACCAGCCACACUGGGACUGAGACACGGCCCAGACUCCUACGGGAGGCAGCAGUGGGGAAUAUUGCGCAAUGGGGGCAACCCUGACGCAGCCAUGCCGCGUGAAUGAAGAAGGCCUUCGGGUUGUAAAGUUCUUUCGGUAGCGAGGAAGGCACUUAGUUUAAUAAACUAAGUGAUUGACGUUAACUACAGAAGAAGCACCGGCUAACUCCGUGCCAGCAGCCGCGGUAAUACGGAGGGUGCGAGCGUUAAUCGGAAUAACUG